GACGAACCGUGCGAACGUUAUUCGGAAUCACUGGGCUUAAAGGGCGCGUAGGCGGGUCCGUAAGUCAGGGGUGAAAUCCCACGGCCCAACCGUGGAAGUGCCUCUGAUACUGCGGGCCUCGAGGGGGGAUAGGGGCGUGCGGAACUCAGGGUGGAGCGGUGAAAUGCGUAGAUAUCCUGAGGAACACCGGUGGCGAAAGCGGCGCGCUGGAUCCCUUCUGACGCUGAGGCGCGAAAGCCAGGGGAGCAAACGGG
rnacentral:rRNA from 1 species